GUACACGCUGUGACUAGCAUAUCAAUAAGCGGAGGAAAAGAAACUAACAAGGAUUCCCCUAGUAACGGCGAGUGAAGCGGGAAGAGCUCAAAUUUGAAAUCUUAAAGGGUUUCCCUUUACGAAUUGUAGUUUAAAGAAGUGUUUUCUGUUGAGGUUUUGGUAAAAGUUCUUUGGAAUAGGACAUCAUAGAGGGUGAGAAUCCCGUAUUUGACCUUUACUUUCAACUUUGUGAUACACUUUCAAAGAGUCGGAUUGUUUGGGAAUGCAGUCCAAAAUGGGUGGUAAAUUUCAUCUAAAGCUAAAUAUUGGCGAGAGACCGAUAGCGAACAAGUACCGUGAGGGAAAGAUGAAAAGAACUUUGAAAAGAGAGUUAAACAGUACGUGAAAUUGUCAAAAGGGAAGCGUUUGACACCAGUGUUGUUUUUCUGAAAAUCAAUUAAAGAACUGUUUAUGCUAAGCUGUUUAGACUUUAUCAGCUAACUGUUUAGUUUUGAGCUUUUCUUUAAUGCACUUUUCAGUUAACAAGUCAACAUCAAUUUCUUUUGCUGUAAAAAAGCUUGAGGAAGGUGGCUUGAGAUUCGUCUUAAGUGUUUAUAGCCUCUUGCCUAUGCAGUCGGAGAGAUUGAGGUCUGCAGCGUAGAUCCUUCGGGGCUAAAUGCAUUUGUGCUAAGUUAUAGCAUUUUAUAGGACAACUUGUUGACUAUGAUUUGUCUUGUAGCUUACUCGCUUAUGUUAUUUUACCUACGCUUAGGAUGUUGAGUCGUAGAGCACGCAG
rnacentral:rRNA from 1 species